AACGAACGCUGGCGGCAUGCCUAACACAUGCAAGUCGAACGAGAUCUUCGGGUCUAGUGGCGCACGGGUGCGUAACGCGUGGGAAUCUGCCCUUUGGUUCGGAAUAACAGUUGGAAACGACUGCUAAUACCGGAUGAUGACGAAAGUCCAAAGAUUUAUCGCCAGAGGAAGAGCCCGCGUAGGAUUAGCUAGUUGGUGUGGUAAAGGCGCACCAAGGCGACGAUCCUUAGCUGGUCCGAGAGGAUGGUCAGCCACACUGGGACUGAGACACGGCCCAGACUCCUACGGGGGGAAGCGGUGGGGAAUAUUGGACAAUGGGCGAAAGCCUGAUCCAGCAAUGCCGCGUGAGUGAUGAAGGCCUUAGGGUUGUAAAGCUCUUUUACCCGGGAUGAUAAUGACAGUACCGGGAGAAUAAGCUCCGGCUAACUCCGUGCCAGCAGCCGCCGUAA
rnacentral:rRNA from 1 species